AAAAUAUAGUUGCCCCACUUAGCUCAUCUAAUGGGUCAUCCGCCAGUGGUGUAGAAAUUUAUCCUUCAUUUCUAUCUUAUUGAGAUCUCUAUAAUCAACACAAAACCUCUACGUCACAUCCUUCUUCUUAACUAAUAACACAGGCGAUGAGAAUGGAGAGUGACUAGGUUUCAAUGGAUAAAGUGAUCAUGUUGUCUUCGUGGAGGGAGUGCUUUUGGCUCAUUAAAAGUGUCUGCAAAUUGGUCAAGAAUUGCAAUGAUGGUGGUUGGUACAACUUCUUUUUCCUCUAACCCAGUUGUUGAAAUAGUGAAUAAAUGAGCCCAAAAUAUCUUGCUCUUCUUAAUCAGAUGUUUCACACUACUCCUAGACAUAGAUUGCAGUGAAACCUGAUGAUAGAUCCCCUUAAGAUCCACUCUCCUACCUUUGUGUGUCACUUGGGCCUUAUAAGCCACAAAGUUCAAGAGGAUUGGAUUAUGUAUUUUCAUCUAAUCUCCACUAAUGAUUAUAUCACAACCCCCAAUAUAACCAGCCUUACUGGGUCUUCAAACUCUAUACCUUGUAUCUUCCAUCUGAACUAAGGCCAUGUAUGUAGACUCAUCAAGUGGUAUCCAUCAGCUAUUGUUACCCUCGUACGUGCAGUUUUACUAGCAACCUAUCUAUUUAUCUGUCUCAAGGUCAAGAAAACUGUGGGUGCUAUCAGAGUCUAGUAAAAUAGUCAAAGUCUUCCUUCUAACUUCUCCUUGCAAAUGUAUGGUAUUAGGAACUUCAGUACCAUCUAAUGUAUUUAAACUGCUAGCUUCAUCCAUAACCACAUGCGUCCUGAUAUUCAACAUUAUAGCCCUCCUCCUCUAGAAUAAUUCCUUGUUUCUCAUCUUCAGUAUUCUCCAUUAAAGCAGAAAUAACAUUGAUUUGCUUAGUCUUACAUUCAUGCCUUGGAAAAUACUUGCCGCCACAUUUAUUAUCACAACUAUUGUGUUUUUCUAGCCUCACACAAUUUAGUACCAGCAAGAGCUGAACUGGAAUUUCUUUCCUUAUGGCCUUGCCCCCAAAUUCUAUUCCUAGUAGUGUAUGGAUGAUUAUUAGCCUGUAAAAUAUUUUUACUCCAUGUUACCAUGUUCUUUCUACUCGCAGUAUCUAACAAUUCCUCUUAAUGUCUUUGCUUUCUCAACAAUCUGGUUGAAGGUAAAUGGAGCAAGCAUUUUGACAGCAUUGCUUGAUCUCAUCCUUCAACCCUUGAAUAAAGUAUCCCAAGAAGAAAUCCUCAGGGAUGGUGGGAUUUCUAAUAGAGAUCCAAGCCUUAAGAUCUUCGAACUUCUCUAGGAGAACAAUCAAGAUUCGGCCUUAUCAUUAAGGUGAAGAACAACCAUCUCCAGCUUUGUUGUGGGUCAGUCACAUGAUUAAAAAGGAAGUCUUUCACGCUUCCUCAACCAAGUGCGAGAAUCUAUUUCGUCAAAGUAUGGAAACUCCACCCUAUGAUUGUAAUUAUUCAACUGAAACCUUGCCAUGGUGCCAUAAUAUUGUUCACCCAAUCUUGUUCUGUUGCCAAAUCCUUUUGCCAAUUGAUACCAGCUGGAGGACUCCCCAAAAUUCCAUCAUAAUUCAAGAGAAGUUUAUCCACCAGAGAUCUCUUUUUAUUCAUAUCCUAUAUUUUUGAAUCAUUUGAUGUAAUAUAAUUUUGUAAUUGACUGUCAAGUUUUUUCACCAAUUUCUCAGUAGAUUUCUCCCUUGUUUCAGUGAUAGUCAUGGUGCCAGGAAAAAGCUCUUGUAACAACCUGAUAGGUUAUUUUGAGUACUGGCUCCUCAUUUUAUGAUUUGAGAUCUUUCGU